GAUGGAUACGAUUGUCGACUGAGA
rnacentral:miRNA from 1 species